AAGCAGCGAAACAGAAAGCAAAGACUAGUAGAAACAGGAGAGCGUCAUAAAAGCACAGUUAUAUGGGGAGACUUAACUAUGUCUUCCAGGUUCUCACAGAACUAGGGGGACAAACAACAAACAAGGAGUAACCUCGGGGAUGACUGGCAUGCCGUCUUACCACCUAGCUCUGGCCCCCGGGAGGUCCUGAGACGAUGCCCCAAGGACGCUAGGUCCAGGGCCAGAGCGCAGCUUCUAAGUGUCACCCUCCACUAGAAGGAUCCAGCGCUCCUGAGAGAAAUGGCCGACUCCAGGGUGGGGCAGGGCAAGGAGAGAAGCCCAGCACAUCCUGGAGGCUGGAGGCAGAAGAAAGAAAUGGCAGAAUAAACCAAAACGAAUAAAGAUGGUGGCCUCAGAACAGAGAGAUGGAGGCUGGUCUUCUGAAGUGACUCUAUAUAAUUUCAGCUUUGGAACCAUGUGAAGAUUUACACAAUUAAGAAACAGAUUUUUUGUGGUGCAGACGCCUGUAAUCCCAGCUACUUGGGAGGCUGAGGCAGGAGAAUUGCUUGAACCCGGGAGGUGGAGGUUGCAGUGCGCCGAGAUCAUGCCACUGCACUCCAGCCUGGGCACCAGAGUGAGAUUCCGUCUCAAAAAAAAAAAAAAAAAAGAUUUUUAAAAAGUCACCCUAAAAGCUGAAAUGAAUCAGCCCAACUGUGUAUCAAGUUGGUAGCAAAACCACAGAAUGAUCUCAAGUGGCUGAGAACACAGGAUGCGGACUGCACGUCCCUGCAGGGUGAACCGUCAGGAAGCAGCUGCCAGGAACUCAGCCCCUCUCCACACUACUGCUCUCAGUCGUACCACUGGUGGUGCUGCUUUUGUUUUUUAGAGUCUGUCUUGCCCAGGCUGGACUCAAAUUCCUGGGCUCAAGUGAUCCUCCUGUUUCAGCCUCCUGAGUAGCUGGGACUACAGGCACAUGCCACCACACUCAGCUAAUUUUGAAAUUAAGGAAAGAUUUCAUGAGAAAAAGUAGAAAAUCACAAAAGUUAGUAAAAACCCUGUAAUCUUAAAUGAGUUAAACAUAACAGUACAAACUCAUGAUUUUUUUCUCUUUCUAAAAACAUCCACCUCUCAGUCUCCAUCUGCUGCAGAGGCCACAGGCAGUGCCUGAGUCCUGAGCACACCUGGCCCACGGCUAGGAGCCCUACACCCAGCUCCCAACCAGAGGGGCCAAGUCCCACGGCUAGGAGCCCAACAUCCGGCUCCCACAGAGAGGGGCCAGGUCCCACGGCUAGGAGCUCUACACCCAGCUCCUGCCAAGAGGGGCCAGGUCCCACACAAAAAUGGUGGAAUCCAGGGCUGGGGCAGGCGAUACAAAGAAUGCCUUGUCAAAGCAGCUGAGGAAUGACAGGGUCAUGCCACAGGGAUGCAGGGCCUCAUUGCCUGAUCAAGGGACAUCCAGGGAACGCUAUGUUGAAACCCAUCAGGAAAACAAAGACUCAUGAGUUCACGAAAACACUAAAAACAGAAAGACACCUUAGGAACCACCUUUGGAAGAUUUCAGGGCCCCAGCCUGUUACUCUAAAAACUGACAAAGGGAAGAACCAAGCAUUCGAUCUUCCUAGGUCUUUCCUGCAGGAGCUCACAUCAGGACAGAAACAGAGCUAGUGAUCUCUUCUUUAUACACAGAUCUACAGAAAUGUUAAAAGCUGGAGAUGCAGUGGGAAAGACUGAAGGAUUCUUCCUGAGCGCGGAAAUCAAGGAAAUGCCAAAAGAAAGCGCAGUCUCGGCCGGGUGCGGUGGCUCAAGCCUGUAAUCCCAGUACUUUGGGAGGCCGAGACAGGCGGAUCACGAGGUCAGGAGAUCGAGACCAU